AAGCGUACAAGGUGGAUGCCUUGGCAAUCAGAGGCGAAGAAGGACGUGCUAAUCUGCGAAAAGCUUGGAUGAGUCGAUAAGAGGCGUUUAAUCCAAGAUGUCCGAAUGGGGAAACCCAGUGGGUGAAGAACCCACUAUCAUUAUCUGAAUCCAU
rnacentral:sRNA from 1 species